UACGUGGGUGGCAAGCGUUGUCCGGAUUUACUGGGUGUAAAGGGCGUGCAGCCGGGCUGACAAGUCAGAUGUGAAAUCCCGCGGCUCAACCGCGGAACUGCAUUUGAAACUGUCAGUCUUGAGUACCGGAGAGGUCAUCGGAAUUCCUUGUGUAGCGGUGAAAUGCGUAGAUAUAAGGAAGAACACCAGUGGCGAAGGCGGAUGACUGGACGGCAACUGACGGUGAGGCGCGAAAGCGUGGGGAGCAAACAGG
rnacentral:rRNA from 1 species